CCCUUAGAUGUCCUGGGCCGCACGCGCGUUACACUGAUGCAUUCAACGAGCCUAUAACCUUGGCCGAGAGGCCUGGGCAAUCUUGUUAACGUGCAUCGUGAUAGGGAUAGAUUAUUGAAAUUAUUAAUCUUGAACGAGGAAUUCCUAGUAAACGCAGAUCAUCAAUCUGCAUUGAUUGCGUCCCUGCCCUUUGUACACACCGCCCGUCGCACCUACCGAUUGGAUGGUCCGGUGAAGCCUCGGGAUUGUGGUUCUUGCCGCUUUAUUGUGGCGUGACCGCGAGAACUUGUCUAAACCUUAUCAUCUAGAGGAAGGUGAAGUCGUAACA
rnacentral:rRNA from 1 species